rnacentral:miRNA from 1 species
GGUUUCUCUGUGUAGCUCUGGCUGUCCUGGAACUAACUCUGUAGACGAGGCUGGUCUCGAACUCACAGAGAUCCACCUGCCUCUGCCUCCCGAGUGCUGGGACUAAAGGCGUGCGCCACCACUGCCC